UAGUCCCAACGUAUAUCGCGCUGUGUUGACCAAGACCGAGAACAAAGAAUUCUGUCAUGUUAUGUGGGUACGCGAAGGAUUCCGAAAAAAAAACAAAAAAAAACAUGGCUAACAGGAUGUUGCUGCCCAGGGAGUCUUGGCUGAAGAGGUCUACUCAUUCCAGAAGCAAGAAUUGUACCAUUGUAGAGCGAAUGGAAAUAAACGGGAGUAAUGGAUGUGCG